rnacentral:tmRNA from 1 species
GGGGAUGUCAGGUUUCGACGGGGGAGGAAAGCCUGGAAUUGCAAGCCGAGGUGCCAUCAAGCCUCGUUAAACCGGUGGCAAAGCCAUAACUGGCAACAAACAACUCGCACUAGCCGCCUAACAAGGUGACUACGUCCAACUCAGCCUCGCUCUGGUGGGCCGGGAUUGGGCGCCAUAAUGCCAGAGUGCUGUGGUCCUGAUCGCCGGUAAGGACCGCUUAAGACCAUCGGCUAGCGCAAGCGAAGCGUUGUCGGCUAGGCUUGCAGGCGCGAAAUCUAUAACUAACCGACUAAGCUUGUAGCACAUUCCUUGUUGAAUCUUCUGGACGGGGGUUCGAUUCCCCCCAUCUCCACCC